GCAUUGGGAGUUCAGUGGUAGAAUCCUCACCUUCCAUAUGAGAAGCCUGGGUUCCAUUCCCAGCCAAUGCA
rnacentral:tRNA from 1 species